ACCCUUAGGAGACUAGAGCUUGGUGAGACAUCUUUGGGUCAUGGGAGGUGUGCCCUUGAAAGGCGUUGUGGGAUCUGGGUAAACCCUCCCCCAACCCUGGUCUUUUUGUUUCUGGUUAUGAGAUAGAUUUCAUUUCAUGCUUCUAGCAUAGUGUGCUGCCUCUCCACACACCCAAAGCAAAGGGGCCAACCAAUCAUGAGCUGACCGUGAGCCAAUCGUGCGUGAGCCGACUCAUUCUGCUAUUACGAUGUUUUCCUUCUGUGGGGAGAGAUACCAGACAAUUUUAGAUUAUCUGGGGGGAAAAGCUGGGCUCAGUCCUGAGACUUGGCAUUCACAGAAGACUCGUGUUGUUGUGUAGCAACGCCAUCCAGAGUGUCAGCCAAGUUGUGUCAUAUGGUUACAAAACCGUCCCCAUCUUCCAGAUCUUCUCCGUAAGUGUGGAUCCUCCCAGAAGUCUGCUCCUCCUGCCCUGGGAUGACCUUAUAUUCUCUCAGAUGAAGCCAGAACCUGAUUACAAUGCUGUCUUCCACUUUA